CACAUACCUAGCUGGGUAUGCAGGGCGGUCCAUCCGGGAGAGCUAAGCCCUUGCCAGAGGCCCAGUGGGGCAGGAAGUCUCUUCCCUGAGCAGGCAAUGUGCUGAGUUUUUUGGAUACAUGUCCCACACAGCACAGUUCCAAGGAGCUCCUCAUAUGCUGUAUUACGUUCCAGAUGCUAGCAUGAUACUAACCAGACUUCCCUGGACAGACGACCCUACCAAUGUGUCCUGGAGCUCUGCUUCCCCAGAGCCCUAUCCCACUAGGGAAAGAGAGAGAUAGGCUGGGAGUAUGGAUCAAUCUGCAUGUUCAGCGGGGAAGCAGUUACAGAAGCCAGAACUUCCACCUUCUGCAUCCUACAAUGACCCUGGGUCCAUACUCCCAGAGGGUUAAAGAAUAGGAAAGUUAUCAGGGGAGGGGAUGGGAUACAGAGUUUUGGUGGUGG